rnacentral:rRNA from 1 species
ACGUAGGGUGCGAGCGUUAAUCGGAAUUACUGGGCGUAAAGCGUGCGCAGGCGGUUCGUUGUGUCGGUGGUGAAAGCCCGGGGCUCAACUCCGGAAUUGCCUUUAAAACUGCAUCGCUAGAAUUGUGGAGAGGUAAGUGGAAUUCCGAGUGUAGAGGUGAAAUUCGUAGAUAUUGGGAAGAACACCGGUGGCGAAGGCGGCUCACUGGCUCAUAUCUGACGCUCAGGCGCGACAGCGUGGGGAUCAAACAGGA